CACGUAGGGGGCAAGCGUUGUCCGGAUUUAUUGGGCGUAAAGAGCUCGUAGGUGGUUCGGUAAGUCAGGUGUGAAACCUCCAGGCUCAACCUGGAGACGCCACUUGAUACUGCUGUGACUGGAGUCCGGUAGGGGAGCGUGGAAUUCCUGGUGUAGCGGUGAAAUGCGCAGAUAUCGUGAGGAACACCAGAGGCGAAGGCGGUUACCUGGACAGUUACUGACGCUCAGGCACGAAAGCAUGGGGAGCAAAAGGG
rnacentral:rRNA from 1 species